rnacentral:Y_RNA from 1 species
GGCUGGUCCGAUGGUAGUGGGUUAUCAGAACUUAUUAACAUUAGUGUCACUAAAGUUGGUAUUCAACCCCCCACUGCUAAAUUUGACUCGCUUUAA